rnacentral:rRNA from 1 species
UCGAGAAUUUUUCUCAAUGGGGGAAACCCUGAAGGAGCGACGCCGCGUGGAGGAUGAAGGUCUUCGGAUUGUAAACUCCUGUCAUUUGAGAACAAGUGUAUGCCAGUAACUACGGCGUACUUGAUAGUAUCAGAAGAGGAAGAGACGGCUAACUCUGUGCCAGCAGCCGCGGUAAUACAGAGGUCUCAAGCGUUGUUCGGAUUCAUUGGGCGUAAAGGGUGCGUAGGCGGUCGGGUAAGUCGGAUGUGAAAUCUUGGGGCUCAACCUCAAAACUGCAUUCGAUACUGCUUGGCUAGAAGACUGGAGAGGAGAGUGGAAUUCACGGUGUAGCAGUGAAAUGCGCAGAUAUCGUGAGGAAGACCAGCGGCGAAGGCGGCUCUCUGGACAGUUCUUGACGCUGAGGCACGAAGGCCAGGGGAGCAAAC